CCGCUGCCACGUCCUGAGCCGCCCAUCUAUGCCGCCGCCGCCGAUGGGCUGGCUCCUCCUCCACCCAUGCGCCCCUCCCAAUCUCCAUAGCCUCCAACGACCAAAUCCAUCUCCUGCCUCCUGCAACUAGUCCUGCCAGUGCGCCGCGUCCGCCGUCGAUGAAUGCCCUCUGCAAGGACUGCCCCUAGCCCCUCUGCUCCGGCGCUCCUCGGUCGUCCCCGUCCCUUUGCCUGAUUGCUAGGGACGUGCUGCUCCACGCCUGCUCCUGCCGGGGGCCGCCGCCUGCCGCGCCGGCUCUGGCGCUUUGCUCCGGCCAAUCCCGGGCUGCUCGCCUGCUCGGCCGGACUCUGCCGCCCAGGACUUGCUGUCAACAAACAGCAAGCAGGCUAGGAAAAAGAAGAGGAAGAUAUAUUUCAUUGCAAGUUUCAACACCCAGUGUUUCAGUUGGACUGAAUCAACUCCACAAAUUGGAACAACCAUAGAUUGGACCACCGCCUUUGGCUUCAAACAACCCGCCUUCAAUCUCAACUCGAGAAAAGAGACAUACCAUUUGUCCAAAAGUAUCAAGCAUUGGAUGUAAAGUGGACAACCUAUUCGGUACUGAAACAAUAUGUGUAGCAUGUAUGAAGCUGAAUCAUGCUUAUAACACUGAAGAGCACAGUAACUUCCAUAAUACAAGUAAGUAGCUGCAAUCUUCCAGGAUUUUUUAUAAAUAAAUCAGCAACAUGCCACUCACCUAAGUUGUCUUUUCAGCGUAUCCUACCAUGCGCCAAUGAGGGAAGUGGUAGUGUAUCCUAAAAAUCCCCUUUUCCUGAAGGUGUAAACACAUGCAGCAACUGAUCGUGUGCAUUAGAAUGCACUGUUUGAUAAUUACUCUCUUAGGCCCUGGUUGCUAACUUUGUAAAAAUAUGCAAUCGGCUACCCUUCAACAAUUGCAAGUCACUUGGGAACUAUUUGGUUUCCAGCCAAAUGUUGCUAGACCUAUGGUUAGGCACACAUAAUUUCUGAGGUGAGUGAGUGUUCGGUUGGCUGACACAGUUGUGGCUUGCGACUUUACUAGUCACAUGAUUAAGGAGUAUAUUUUGGCCACACUUUUGUGGCAAGCCACACUCUGUCCCGAGGGGUAACAAUUACUACUUUUGGCUUAGUUGUGGCAAAGUAAGCUUUUAACUAAACUAGGGUGUUAAAUUGGUCUUAAGUUUCAAUCUAGUAUUGUAGAUCAUCACAUAUGUUCUCUGUUUCUUGUUCAAUGAUGUCUUAUCUGACUCGUUAAUCAGUCCAACUUAAUAUCCUUUUUCCUGUUAUCCUUAGAACAAAUAUAUAUGACGUGUAUGCAGUGCAUCCCACUAAUUAUUUAGAUUGCAUUGCAAACGCCCUUUUAUACAUGCUUUUCAUUUUUCAUUCAGGUGGCUGCACAUAUCCUCCAGGUUUCUGUAAUUGGGAAGGAGUGUAUUUCCAGUAUGGUGAUAAUUGUAUAUAUAAUAAUACUGACUGUGAUCAUUGGCCUUUUUUUUACCUUCUGUUGUACCUUGAUUUUUGUAUAUGGUGCUUACCUGAGAUGCACAAGAUCAUCAAUAACACGAUGAUAUAAAGCAGGAAAUUAACACAGUUUUUUUAAAGCACCCUAUUAUAUGGUUUUUAUGCUUAGUUUGGAUACUUAGAUAGUCCAACAAUCUUAGUAGUUUUGCAGAAGGAAAGAAGUCCCUACAGCGAUUAGAAAGAGUAAAUAUUUCUAGAUAAUUGAAGGCCCUGCAUAUAUAAUAUCAAUCAUGUGUCCUGUUUUAUAUUUUUGUUUGUUCAUGUGGUGUGUGUUUCCUUUUGAUGUAGCCAGAGUUGGGAUUAGGGGGAGAAAGAUGGCAGCAUAUGUGAAAUUGUAUUGAACUGAGUGGCGUCUUUGCAUAAUAGUUAAACCUACAAUGGCACAUUUCUUUUGAUGUUUUUCAAUUCAAGGUUGAUGAAAUAUUUUAGGAUCCCAUCAUUGAAUUAAAAUAUCUAUGUAUUACAUGCUUUUCUUGCAAAAAGAUUUGCAUCAGCUUCCAUCUCUUAAAUAACACAUGUAAAGUUAUACACUGACAUAUUUUUUUUGUUUCAUUACUUCGGCAUAUCAAAGGGCGAUGGAUCGAGGUUGGGUGAGUCAACCAAGAGCUAGUGCUGCUUACAAAGAUGGUGUCGAGCAAUUUCUGUCUUUUGCAUUCCAUGAUGUUUCGGCUGGUGAUAGAAUUCUCUGUCCUUGUGUAAAUUGCCGAAAUAAAGCUAUGCAGAGUUAUGAUGGAGUGAAAACUCACUUGAGAUGUGAUGGUAUUCUUCAAGGUUACACUAAGUGGGUUUGCCAUGGAGAGGAUUACAGUGAACCAUCAUUUGCAUUUGCUCAUGUAUCAGAUAAUAGUGGCAAUUUUCUAUUCCUAGCAUCCCAAGGAAUGUUGUUGGAGAAGGCAACCAUGGAAGGAUGGAUGACAUGCCAGGACUCUUAAGUGCUGUCUUUGCUAUGGCUAAUAGUUGUUAAUCUUUAUCAAGCACAUCUGAUGGUGAAUUAGAUGGCGUUGAAUUUGAGAAUAUGGUACCUAAUUCAGUUGAGGAUGAGAAUGCAGAUGCUCAAACAAGGAAGAAACCUAAUACGUAUGCAAGCUUCUUGGAGGAUGCAAACACGGAGUUAUACCCUGGAUGUAAAGCAUUUUCUAAGUUGUCAUUUCUCAUCACCUUGUAUCACAUGAAAUGCUUACGUGGAUGGUCACAAGAAUAAUUUACAACGCUACUUGGUAUUUUGUCUGAUGCACUCCCACACGCACAACUACCAAAGAAGUACUAUGAGGUACAAAAAAUCAUCCGUGGCUUAGGCCUUGACUACGAGAAAAUUCAUGCAUGCCCCAAUGAUUGCAUGCUUUUCCGAGGUGAACGAGCUGAUCAAGAGUCUUGCCAUGUGUGUGGCAGCUCGCGUUGGGUUACAAAUGAGAAGAAAGACUCCCAAGCUGAAUCUGUAUCUAAGCAGAAGAAGAAACCAGCCAAGGUGUUGCAUUACUUUCCUUUGAUACCGAGGAUUCAAAGGCUCUUUGCAACAAGAAAAACAUCAGAUGACAUGCGUUGGCACGAUGAGGGUUGUACUAAAGAUGGAAAGAUACGGCAUCCAGCUGAUGGCGAGUGUUGGAAAGAUCUUGAUGCUAGAUACCCCAGUUUUGCUGCUGAUCCUCGUAAUCCGUGCCUUGGCAUUUCGAGUGAUGGAUUUAACCCUUUUCGGAGUAUGAGUUCAAAACAUAGUACUUGGCCAGUGAUGCUUAUCCCGUACAACCUACCGCCUUGGAUUUGCAUGAAAGAAACAUCUCUAAUUUUAUCGAUGAUCAUUCCUGGACCAGCUUCCCCUGGGAAUGACAUUGAUAUAUAUUUGCAGCCACUGAUUGAUGAGCUCUUACAGUUAUGGGAUGGUGUAGACACAUUUGACGCUUCCUCGCAGGAGAUAUUUCCACUCAAGGCUGCACUAUUAUGGACUUUAAAUGAUUUUCCAGCAUUAGCUUACCUGUAUGGUUGGAGCACAAGUGGUAAAUAUGGGUGUCCAUCAUGUGGUCCUUCUACAAGAUCAUUUCGCCUGAAUAAGAGUAUGAAACUUUGUUAUAUGGGUCACCAUCGCUGGUUACCACAGGGUCAUGUAUUUCGAAACCGAAGAAGGCGGGAAUUUGAUGGCACUAAAGAUACAUAAUUGGCACCGACAAGUAUGAGUGGUAGUUCAGCUUUGAAAAUGUUGCUAGGCAGAGUGUUUGUGUUAGGCAAAAAAGACAAUGUAGCAAAGAAAGCAAAGGGCGGAAAGAAGGUCAAAAACAGUGAAAAAUAAAAUGAAAAGAAUCAAGAACCGAAGCGUAAAAGGAAGGCAGACAACAAGAAGUCAAUUAAGAACCAAGGUAAGCCUGAGAAGAAGCCUGAGGAUUGGUUCAAAAAAAAAUCAAUAUUUUUCAACUUGCCAUAUUGGGAACUUAACAAGUUAAGGCACAAUCUCGAUGUAAUGCACAUAGAAAAGAAUGUGUUUGAUAAUUUAAUUGGAACGUUGUUGGAUAUUGAUUCUAAAACAAAGGAUGGCCUUAAUGCACGGCUUGAUUUGGCAGAAAUUGGUGAAAAUGGAAUUCGACAUAAUCUUCAUCCUGCUGUAGAUGAUAAUGGAAAAAUAGUAUUGCCUGAUGCACCAUUUACUAUGUCUAGAAAACAACAAGAAAUACUUUGUUCAGUGAUGCACAAUAUUAGGACCUCCGAUGGAUAUGCAUCAAAUUUUUCUAGGCAUGUCAACAUGAAAGAUUGUACAAUCUCAGGUCUCAAAAGUCAUGAUUGUCAUGUUAUUCUGGAAGAUAUUCUUCCUCUAGCACUUCGAUCCUGUUACCCACACAAAGAGGUCAUGGAAAUAGUUAUCGGGCUGUCUAAUUUCUUCAAGAAACUAUGCUCGAAAGUCUUAGAUGUCUCUGAGCUUGACGAACUUCAAGAGAGUAUUGUGAUGACACUUUGCAAUAUGGAGAGAAUUUUUCUUCCAUCAUUCUUUACUAUCAUGGUGCAUCUAAUGGUGCACUUGGUUGAAGAAGUUAAACUUGGUGGUCCAGUGCACUAUCGGUAGAUGUACCCCCUAGAGAGAUCAUUUGUUCGGCUGAAAGCACUUGUGCGCAAUAGAGCAUUUCCUGAAGGUUCAAUUGCUGAAGGGUAUCUUGCCCAAGAAUGCUUGACCUUUUGUUCAAGAUUUCUAGAAGGAACUACACGUUUUACAAGACCAUCAAGAAACCCCGAUCCUUCAGACAAGAUAAAAGAUUUGUACAUGUUCCAUAGUGCUGGUGAGCCAAUUGGAAAGGAUGUCCCAGUUGGGCAGUUUAAUAGCCAGCUUCUUAUUCAAGCGCAUCGAUAUGUCUUGCGACAUUGUGAUGAGCUUGUAGAUUUCCGCAAUGAAUUUGUGGCUAAAGAGAAUAGCAAACGAUGUGACUCAGCUAAUUUGACAGAAGCUGAUACCACUAAGUUAAUUAAUGAACACUUUGCUGACUAGUUGGAACAAAAGGUUUUACAAAGCGAUGGAUCAACUAUUACAGAAAAGGUAAGAGCUUUGGCUGCAAAACCCAACAGAUACGGGGUGCUCUACAGUGGCUAUGUCAUCAAUGGCUUCAGGUUCCACACGAUGAGUCAUGAGUCAGGGCAUGUCACACAAAAUAGUGGUGUAGUGAACAUUGCAGAAAAUGGUGUUAGAUAUUAUGGCAGAUUAAGUGACAUCUUUGAAAUGUCAUACAAUGAUUACAAAGUGGUGUUCUUUAA